rnacentral:misc_RNA from 1 species
CUGAGUUUACGCACUCAUAAACCCUUUUGUGGACCACUGAACGUUGCCUCGGCGGGUUCGCCCGUCGCAGGCCUUAAAAAACUAUUUAUUUACCGUUAAACUGAGUGGCGCAGACAAAUAAGUCAA